CCCUUAGAUGUCCGGGGCCGCACGCGCGCUACACUGAAGGAAUCAGCGUGGCUUUCUCCCUGACCCGAAAGGGUUGGGAAACCCGUUGAAUCUCCUUCGUGAUAGGGAUUGGGGCUUGAAAUUGUUCCCCAUGAACGAGGAAUUCCCAGUAAGCGCGAGUCACAAGCUCGCGUUGAUUACGUCCCUGCCCUUUGUACACACCGCCCGUCGCUACUACCGAUUGAACGGUUUAGUGAGGGCCUCGGAUUGGUCUCGGCCCGCUCUUUACCGGGCGGCGCCGUUGGUCGAGAAGACGCUCGAACUUGAUCGUUUAGAGGAAGUAAAAGUCGUAACA
rnacentral:rRNA from 1 species